rnacentral:rRNA from 1 species
AGAGUUUGAUCCUGGCUCAGGAUGAACGCUAGCUACAGGCUUAACACAUGCAAGUCGAGGGGCAGCAUCAUCAAAGCUUGCUUUGAUGGAUGGCGACCGGCGCACGGGUGAGUAACACGUAUCCAACCUGCCGACAACACUGGGAUAGCCUUUCGAAAGAAAGAUUAAUACCGGAUGGCAUAAUUAUUCCGCAUGGGAUAAUUAUUAAAGAAUUUCGGUUGUCGAUGGGGAUGCGUUCCAUUAGGCAGUUGGCGGGGUAACGGCCCACCAAACCUACGAUGGAUAGGGGUUCUGAGAGGAAGGUCCCCCACAUUGGAACUGAGACACGGUCCAAACUCCUACGGGAGGCAGCAGUGAGGAAUAUUGGUCAAUGGACGAGAGUCUGAACCAGCCAAGUAGCGUGAAGGAUGACUGCCCUAUGGGUUGUAAACUUCUUUUAUACGGGAAUAAAGUGAGCCACGCGUGGCUUUUUGUAUGUACCGUAUGAAUAAGGAUCGGCUAACUCCGUGCCAGCAGCCGCGGUAAUACGGAGGAUCCGAGCGUUAUCCGGAUUUAUUGGGUUUAAAGGGAGCGUAGGCGGGUUGUUAAGUCAGUUGUGAAAGUUUGCGGCUCAACCGUAAAAUUGCAGUUGAUACUGGCGACCUUGAGUGCAACAGAGGUAGGCGGAAUUCGUGGUGUAGCGGUGAAAUGCUUAGAUAUCACGAAGAACUCCGAUUGCGAAGGCAGCUUACUGGAUUGUAACUGACGCUGAUGCUCGAAAGUGUGGGUAUCAAACAGGAUUAGAUACCCUGGUAGUCCACACAGUAAACGAUGAAUACUCGCUGUUGGCGAUAUACGGUCAGCGGCCAAGCGAAAGCAUUAAGUAUUCCACCUGGGGAGUACGCCGGCAACGGUGAAACUCAAAGGAAUUGACGGGGGCCCGCACAAGCGGAGGAACAUGUGGUUUAAUUCGAUGAUACGCGAGGAACCUUACCCGGGCUUAAAUUGCAACUGACUGAACCGGAGACGGUUCUUUCUUCGGACAGUUGUGAAGGUGCUGCAUGGUUGUCGUCAGCUCGUGCCGUGAGGUGUCGGCUUAAGUGCCAUAACGAGCGCAACCCUUACGGGUAGUUACCAUCAGGUUAUGCUGGGGACUCUACCCGGACUGCCGUCGUAAGAUGUGAGGAAGGUGGGGAUGACGUCAAAUCAGCACGGCCCUUACGUCCGGGGCUACACACGUGUUACAAUGGGGGGUACAGAAGGCAGCUACACGGCGACGAGGUGCUAAUCCCGAAAGCCUCUCUCAGUUCGGAUUGGAGUCCGCAACCCGACUCCAUGAAGCUGGAUUCGCUAGUAAUCGCGCAUCAGCCACGGCGCGGUGAAUACGUUCCCGGGCCAUGCACACACCGCCCGUCAAG